GACGAACCGUGCGAACGUUAUUCGGAAUCACUGGGCUUAAAGCGCGUGUAGGCGGGACGGCACGUCGGUCGCUGAAAGCCCCCGGCUCAACCGGGGAACGGGCGCCGAGACGACCGCCCUGGAGGGACGUAGGGGGACCUGGAACUUCCGGUGGAGCGGUGAAAUGCGUUGAGAUCGGAAGGAACGCCCGUGGCGAAAGCGAGGUCCUGGACGUCUGCUGACGCUGAGACGCGAAAGCGUGGGGAGCAAACAGG
rnacentral:rRNA from 1 species